rnacentral:rRNA from 1 species
UGUGAGAGCAAGAGCCCGGAGAUGGAUUCUGAGACACGAAUCCAGGCCCUACGGGGCGCAGCAGGCGCGAAAACUUUACAAUGCGAGAAAUCGUGAUAAGGGAACCCCGAGUGCCCGUAAAUUCGGGCUGUCCGCCAGUGUAAAUAACUGGUGAAGAAAGGGCCGGGCAAGACCGGUGCCAGCCGCCGCGGUAAUACCGGCGGCUCGAGUGGUGGCCACUAUUACUGGGCUUAAAGCGUCCGUAGCUGGAUUGUUAAGUCUCUUGGGAAAUCCACCGGCUCAACCGAUGGGCGUUCAGGAGAAACUGGCAAUCUAGGGACCGGGAGAGGUGAGAGGUACUCCAGGGGUAGGAGUGAAAUCCUGUAAUCCUUGGGGGACCACCUGUGGCGAAGGCGUCUCACUAGAACGGCUCCGACAGUGAGGGACGAAAGCUGGGGGAGCAAACCGGAUUAGAUACCCGGGUAGUCCCAGCUGUAAACGAUGCGCGUUAGGUGUAUCGGUGACCACGAGUCAUCGAGGUGCCGAAGGGAAACCGUGAAACGU